CCCUUCGAUGUUCGGAGCUGCACGCGCGCUACACUGUGGGUGGCAGCAUGUUAGCUUGCCUCGCUCGCAAGAGUGGGGUAAUCGUUUGAAAAUCCCACGUGAUUGGGAUAGGGACUUGUAAUUAUUUCCCUUGAACGAGGAAUCCCUAGUAAGUGCAGGUCAUCAGCUUGCGCUGAUUACGUCCCUGCCCUUUGUACACACCGCCCGUCGCACCUACCGAUUGAAUGGUCCGGUGAAAUCUCGGGACGGCGGCUUGGUCGCUUGCGUCCGACUGCUGAAACUUGAUUAAACCAUAUCAUUUAGAGGAAGGUGAAGUCGUAACA
rnacentral:rRNA from 1 species